GACCUUAUAGCCCUAUAAAAAGCUCAGAUCGCCUCAAGCUUCUAUUCAACGGCACUAGGCAGUACUGGUACAAAACUCACCCAAAGUUCCAGCAGAUUUUAGAUACCGACUAUUCGACGUGGGCCCUCGUGCACCACUGCUGGGAAGGCGGCUCUGGAUCCUGGUUCAUGCUACUUCUGAGAAAACCAUUGAAGGCGAUACCCGAAACCGUAAUGGCGAGGGUCAAGAGCUCCAUGGCCAAGGCUGGGCGCACAAAGAAGUACUGGUGGAAGCGUACUGGCUGUAUGCUCCCGGAAGAUGUUCAAAAGCUCGUGAUAGUGGACGGGCUUGUGCCAUAGCGUA